rnacentral:rRNA from 1 species
GACAGAGGGUGCAAACGUUGUUCGGAAUUACUGGGCGUAAAGCGCGUGUAGGCGGCAAUACAAGUCGGAUGUGAAAUCCCGCGGCUUAACCGUGGAAGUGCACCCGAAACUGUAUCGCUAGAGUCCCGGAGAGGAUGGUGGAAUAUUUGGUGUAGAGGUGAAAUUCGUAGAUAUCAAGUGGAACACCGGUGGCGAAGGCGGCCAUCUGGACGGUGACUGACGCUGAGACGCGAAAGCGUGGGUAGCAAACAGG